AUUGAACGCUUGCGGCAGGCUUAACACAUGCAAGUCGAACGAUGAAACUCUAGCUUGCUAGAGAAGAUUAGUGGCGGACGGGUGAGUAACAUUUAGGAAUCUGCCUAGUAGUGGGGGAUAGCUCGGGGAAACUCGAAUUAAUACCGCAUACGACCUACGGGUGAAAGGGGGCGCAAGCUCUUGCUAUUAGAUGAGCCUAAAUCAGAUUAGCUAGUUGGUGGGGUAAAGGCCCACCAAGGCGACGAUCUGUAACUGGUCUGAGAGGAUGAUCAGUCACACCGGAACUGAGACACGGUCCGGACUCCUACGGGAGGCAGCAGUGGGGAAUAUUGGACAAUGGGGGCAACCCUGAUCCAGCCAUGCCGCGUGUGUGAAGAAGGCCUUUUGGUUGUAAAGCACUUUAAGCAGGGAGGAGAGGCUAAUGGUUAAUACCCAUUAGAUUAGACGUUACCUGCAGAAUAAGCACCGGCUAACUCUGUGCCAGCAGCCGCGGUAAUACAGAGGGUGCGAGCGUUAAUCGGAAUUACUGGGCGUAAAGCGAGUGUAGGUGGCUCAUUAAGUCACAUGUGAAAUCCCCGGGCUUAACCUGGGAACUGCAUGUGAUACUGGUGGUGCUAGAAUAUGUGAGAGGGAAGUAGAAUUCCAGGUGUAGCGGUGAAAUGCGUAGAGAUCUGGAGGAAUACCGAUGGCGAAGGCAGCUUCCUGGCAUAAUAUUGACACUGAGAUUCGAAAGCGUGGGUAGCAAACAGGAUUAGAUACCCUGGUAGUCCACGCCGUAAACGAUGUCUACUAGCCGUUGGGGUCCUUGAGACUUUAGUGGCGCAGUUAACGCGAUAAGUAGACCGCCUGGGGAGUACGGCCGCAAGGUUAAAACUCAAAUGAAUUGACGGGGGCCCGCACAAGCGGUGGAGCAUGUGGUUUAAUUCGAUGCAACGCGAAGAACCUUACUUGGUCUUGACAUAGUGAGAAUCCUGCAGAGAUGCGGGAGUGCCUUCGGGAAUUCACAUACAGGUGCUGCAUGGCUGUCGUCAGCUCGUGUCGUGAGAUGUUGGGUUAAGUCCCGCAACGAGCGCAACCCUUUUCCUUACUUGCCAGCGGGUUAAGCCGGGAACUUUAAGGAUACUGCCAGUGACAAACUGGAGGAAGGCGGGGACGACGUCAAGUCAUCAUGGCCCUUACGACCAGGGCUACACACGUGCUACAAUGGUAGGUACAGAGGGUUGCUACACAGCGAUGUGAUGCUAAUCUCAAAAAGCCUAUCGUAGUCCGGAUUGGAGUCUGCAACUCGACUCCAUGAAGUCGGAAUCGCUAGUAAUCGCAGAUCAGAAUGCUGCGGUGAAUACGUUCCCGGGCCU
rnacentral:rRNA from 1 species